rnacentral:sRNA from 1 species
AAUUAAGUUUAAUUGAAAAACGAAAUACAUUAUCAAUUUCCAAAAAUAAUAACCAAUCAAAAUCAACAUAUAAGAUUUGAUAUCUAAAUUUUAAUUAAUUUAAUUUAAUUAGAAAAACGAAAUACAUUAUUAAUUUCCAAAAAAGUAACCAAUUAAAAUCAACAAAUUAUAUUUGAUAUCUAAAUUAUCAUAUUAAUUUUUUAUUAAUUAUUAUAGUUCACUUCUCAUCUUUAUAUGAUUCUAUUUUUGUGGAAAAAUAAUAUCAUCAUUAUAAAAAAAUAAUUAGAGUUUUUUUGCAUAUGCCACAAUUUGAAUCCUAGAAUUGACGGGUUUAGAUCGAUAUUAAUACAAGAUGGUAUACUACAGGUGAAACUCUUAAAUUAACAAUCAAACUACAAGUGUAUAAUCUUAAACACUAAACAAUAUAGAUAAUAUCAAGAAAACAUAUACAACUUACAGUUUACUAUACAUUUAAAAUCAAAUAAAAUAAUGUCAUAUAUUUUUAAAUCAUCUUUACAAUAAAAGUUUUUAGUUUAACUAAAAUAUAAGCCUACCUGCGGUAUACAGCAGAUUAAUAUCUAGAUUAUAGGGCUUAUUGGAUCUAAAGAUGGGUCAUCAAAGAUUUUCUAAACUGAAGCAAAAUAUACUGAAUAUUCAAAUAUCUAUCUGUUACCAAAUUAUAAACAAAUAAGUCAAUUUAAUAUUUUAUAUACGAAAUCAAUUAAAUCUUAAUCACAUAAAAAUUAGCACAAAAAAGUAUUCAACAAUUAAAAAAUUAUCAAAUCUCUGUGUUAUAUAAGUUUUGAUACUAUAUUCGAAUAAUGUAAUAUACCUUUUCAAUUUGUAUUCUUUAACUAAUUUAAGCUAACUAAUAUAUUUGCUAAUCUUAUACCUAUCAAAACCGACUAUCGUUUCUUAUCUCUAUAGUAGUUUUGCAAGACUUUUUUGGUGGAUUUGGAUAAAAGUGCAUUCGGGUCAUAUGGUACAUUCCCCUAUUAAAUAAAUAUGGUGCACUCCUAUGUUAUUAGCUAAAAUGUUUAUAAUAUAAUUAAGAGUCAUAUCAUUAAUAAAAUUAAUAUUAAUAAAAUAAAUGGCUUUUUGGCAAAACGAAUUUGGAGGGACGGUUUUUUAAUCAACAUUAAUAAAAAAGUAAAAUAUAAUUAAUCCACCGUUUCAAUACGGAUUAAAUCUUUAAUUUAUUAUUUUUUAAGACCACUAAUAUUAAACAUAUCAAAUCAUGCUAAUUUAGAAAAGAUUAUAUAAAACCAAAAAUGUUAUGUGGUAUGUAUAAUGUUACUAUAUAUAAAAUUAAACAAUAAAAUAUAAAUGUAUUAGAGAAUGAUACAAUUUGCAAAACUUUUAUAUAUAAAAAAUAAUUCUUAAAUUUUAAAAAUUACUACUUUAAAAAACAAAUCACGGGACGGAUAAAGAAAUUACAGAACGAGUUUUAUUUUGGAAUUGGGUUAUAUGGUGGAUGUAUUUGAAUCAAUAUUUAUAAAAUUUUAAAAUAUUAUUAAUAUGCUGUUUUAAUAGGGAUUAAAACUUCAGUUUUUUAACAAUUGUCUCAUGGAUUCGUGGUAUAGCGUUACUUAAUAACAAUUAUAAACUGUAAAAUAAAAAUAUUU